ACCGAGUAGAAGUGCCUGCGUGGUGUCCACACAGAUUGUCUGAUGAUAAGAAAGAGUCAAAAGCGUCUUGCGAAGCUGACAAGUGAUGUCCCCUUCGUCUAGAGGCCCAGGACACCGCCCUUUCACGGCGGUAACAGGGGUUCGAAUCCCCUAGGGGACGCCAGUAUGACUGACAGUGGGUGAAAGGCACGGUCAACGCUAACCUAAAACUGAUUAGAGAUAGUCAGGUUUAUGUUAUCUGCUCUUUAACAAUCCGGAACAAGCUGAAAAAUUGAAACGACAGCAUGUGAGUGAGAAUUCAUGUGUUGUUCGAGUCUC
rnacentral:misc_RNA from 1 species